AGUGAACGCUGGCGGUAGGCCUAACACAUGCAAGUCGAACGGCAGCACAGUAAGAGCUUGCUCUUACGGGUGGCGAGUGGCGGACGGGUGAGGAAUACAUCGGAAUCUACUUUUUCGUGGGGGAUAACGUAGGGAAACUUACGCUAAUACCGCAUACGACCUACGGGUGAAAGCAGGGGAUCUUCGGACCUUGCGCGAUUGAAUGAGCCGAUGUCGGAUUAGCUAGUUGGCGGGGUAAAGGGCCACCAAGGCGACGAUCCGUAGCUGGUCUGAGAGGAUGAUCAGACACACGGGAACUGAGACACGGUCCAGACUCCUACGGGAGGCCGCAGUGGGGAAUAUUGGACGAUGGGCGCGAGCCUGAUCCAGCCAUACCGCGUGGGUGAAGAAGGCCUUCGGGUUGUAAAGCCCUGUUGUUGGGAAAGAAAAGCAGCAGGUUAAUACCCCGCUGUUCUGACGGUACCCAAAGAAUAAGCACCGGCUAACUUCGUG
rnacentral:rRNA from 1 species